UACCUUUAGGAGGUCAGGUGACUGACUCUUCAGAAGAAAAAGUCAGUAUUGCUUCAUGGAUUGACUAACAGAAGGAGCUGCAUACAUGACAGCUGAAGAUGCACUUUCCCUGGGGACUAAGUGCAGUAUGUUCAUGACAAGUGCAGCUAUUGCUGGUUGGGGGCUUGAAAGCUGAUCUUGUUUCUGAACCCAAGACUUCUCAUUGGUGUCUCAUCAGAGUAGCCUGGACUCCUGAACGAACUCAUAAUAGAAUAUUGCUAUGUUCCAUGAAGACCAUUCUGUUUUCUGGGACAGUGAAGACCGGGCCUAUAGAAGAGGAGAACUGCAAUAACUGCACAGCUGUAUGAACAUUCCCUGCUAGCUGUCAGUUGCACUUGAAGUCUGCAUACCACAAUCCAAGCCAAAGAGAAAGUGCUCUAGUUGCAUUUGGCAGAGGGGAACUGAGGAACUAUAGAGAUGAGAGAAUUGACAGCUACCAAAAUGAUGGAGUGGACUUAGCUUUUCCUCUAAAGCCUGCAGGUGACAGACUCUGCUGGCCAAAGCAAAACAACAGUAUGUAUCCAGUCAUAACUGACUGAAGAACUUGAAAACAGCUGCAUCUUUCAAACAUGGUAUAAAGAUCAUGUCGUUUUCAGGAGUACCCAGAUGAAUUCAAGGCUCCAUUGUGUUAGGUGCUGUACAUUUACAUAGCAAGAGACAACUGCUGCCUCAAAGAGCUUACCAUCUAACUAGACAAGACAAACAGCUGGAGAAAGCAAGUAUUAACUCAUCUUACAGAUGGGAAAUGGAAGCACAGAGAAACUAAAAGGGCUGAGAAUGACAUUCUGCCCUCCGCACUCCCCAUUCACCAAUGUGCUUGACCAAAAUGCAUCCUCCCCUCUUGUAAACUGGUUGGUUGCUGCAUUUACCCCAGAGAUAGGUGCUUCCCAGUAAUUCUGUAUGAAUAGAGUUUUUAAGUGCUUUAGAAUUUUAUGGAAUGAAAUAAGCUAUGCACAUCAAAAAUAUUUUAAUCUGGUGUCUUUGGUUAUUUUAAGGGACAGAAUCCCUUGCAGAGUUCCUUGCAUUCAUAGAAGAAUGAGGAUCCACGUUAAUCUUAUGUAUUUUGGUCACUACCAUACAAGCACAUGACCAUGUGAAUUCCAGAUUCCAUAGAACCCUGUUGAAUCUCCCCACUAUCUCUGUGUAUGCCAUGUUCUAAUGCACGUCAGCGUAACUUUUUUCUCCCCUAGUAGUUUACUCUCAAAUGUUUCCUACAACAGUGUAAAAGAAAUAAUGAUCAAGAUCUUUCCCUGGGAUUCAUGGCAGGCGAGAAGCACCACCUUGUAAUUAGUCCCCAGAAAAAUGCCCCGUAUUAGAUGUAUCAAAUGCCUUCUGCAGAGAAGGCUGAAUUACAUUUUUAAUUUGAGUUUGUGGACUACGGAUAAAAAAUAAAAUUAAAGCCUACUUUGACUGGGAGUAGAAUAUGCCCUUUAGAGGGGGCGGGUAAGCCUAGAGUUGACUUGUUUCUCUUUUCCCUAUUAUGUGGGGCAGGAAAGGAUAGUAACAAAGCAUUUCUCUCACCUUUGGGCAGGAGCCUGGUCAGAGAGCAGGCUGAGCCCAUGCUGGCAAAAAUGCAAGGAUUACACAAAAAUGAUGAAUGAAAUCAGACAAAAAUGCAAGGAACAGGUGGCAUCCCAGGCACAAGUCUAGUAUCUUUUCAUGAGUGAUCCUUGUGCUUAUGCUACUAUAUGAAACCUUAAAACUCAGGGAGAAGGAACAGCACUGCAGGAUUUCACUGCUAAUACCAAUUCACUCUUUUGAACUGACUGCUGUCCCACCCUCUUCUAUUCAGCCCCUGGUAUGUGGAGAAUCAUUUCACCUCCGUACUUUCAGUUUGUGUUUCAGUUUUGCUAUCUAUAAAAUAGGGAUAAUACUUCCCUACCUCACAGAGAUACUAAUCUUGCAUCUAUGUAAAGCACUUUGAGCUCCUUGGGUGAAGAGCCCUACAGAAAAGCGGAGUAUUGUUUUUAUUUGUUAUUACUAGGAAAUGUCUGGCUCAUCCUGUUUAUCUCAUAGGGUCUAAAAAGAUGUCCAAUACUGAAAUAGCUAAGAAGUUUAGGAAACCUUGAGGAAAUCUUAUAAGAAAUGUCUUUAUGUAUUUUUCCCUAUGGAACCCAUCACUGCUAUCUAUAGAAGUGAAUAACAAAUGUGUAAAAUAAGCAAUCUCUUAAAUGGGAGUGUUUCUAGCAUGCCAUGAAACCCAGGGAAAGGUGCCGGAUCCUGAUCAUUGUUGUCAAUAAAACUGAUUGAUUAACAAUCAGGCCAUGGAAGUGGGACAGGCACUGUAGAAGGUCCAUCUCCAAAGUAUGUCCUUGCUAGAAAACAGUCCAUUGGAGCUUUGCUAUAAAACAUGCAAACAUCCUGAGGAAAUGACAGCAAU